rnacentral:rRNA from 1 species
UACAGAGGUCCCAAGCGUUGUUCGGAUUCACUGGGCGUAAAGGGUGCGUAGGCGGUCGGGUAAGUCUGAUGUGAAAUCUCACAGCUUAACUGUGAAACUGUAUUGGAUACUAUCCGGCUAGAGGAAUGGAGGGGAGACUGGAAUACUUGGUGUAGCAGUGAAAUGCGUAGAUAUCAAGUGGAACACCAGUGGCGAAGGCGAGUCUCUGGACAUUUCCUGACGCUGAGGUGCGAAAGCGUGGGGAGCAAACAGG